rnacentral:misc_RNA from 1 species
AAGUCGUAACAAGGUAACCGUAGGUGAACCUGCGGUUGGAUCAUUAACAAAUUCAAUCAAAAAUUAAGGUCAAGGAGCGAAUCUGAAAAGAUUUUAACCUUCCUUUUUUUUUACACACAAUGUGAACUGUUUAUUGUCUCUGGUGGUGUUAAAAGUUUUCGAAAGAAAAUGGGUACUUUACUGUACCUACCCACCGUUUAAAUUUUAAACUUUAUUUUAUUUAUUAGCCUUUAUAUCUUUAAAAAAAGUUAAAUUAAAAAACAACUUUUGGCAACGGAUCUCUAGGCUCUU